rnacentral:rRNA from 1 species
AGAGUUUGAUCCUGGCUCAGGACGAACGCUGGCGGCGUGCUUAACACAUGCAAGUCGAACGAUGAUGCCCAGCUUGCUGGGCGGAUUAGUGGCGAACGGGUGAGUAAUACGUGAGUAACCUGCCCUUGACUCUGGGAUAAGCCUGGGAAACUGGGUCUAAUACUGGAUACUACCUCUUACCGCAUGGUGGGUGGUGGAAAGGGUUUUACUGGUUUUGGAUGGGCUCACGGCCUAUCAGCUUGUUGGUGGGGUAAUGGCUCACCAAGGCGACGACGGGUAGCCGGCCUGAGAGGGUGACCGGCCACACUGGGACUGAGACACGGCCCAGACUCCUACGGGAGGCAGCAGUGGGGAAUAUUGCACAAUGGGCGGAAGCCUGAUGCAGCGACGCCGCGUGAGGGAUGACGGCCUUCGGGUUGUAAACCUCUUUCAGUAGGGAAGAAGCGAGAGUGACGGUACCUGCAGAAGAAGCGCCGGCUAACUACGUGCCAGCAGCCGCGGUAAUACGUAGGGCGCAAGCGUUGUCCGGAAUUAUUGGGCGUAAAGAGCUCGUAGGCGGUUUGUCGCGUCUGCUGUGAAAGCCCGGGGCUCAACCCCGGGUCUGCAGUGGGUACGGGCAGACUAGAGUGCAGUAGGGGAGACUGGAAUUCCUGGUGUAGCGGUGAAAUGCGCAGAUAUCAGGAGGAACACCGAUGGCGAAGGCAGGUCUCUGGGCUGUUACUGACGCUGAGGAGCGAAAGCAUGGGGAGCGAACAGGAUUAGAUACCCUGGUAGUCCAUGCCGUAAACGUUGGGCACUAGGUGUGGGGGACAUUCCACGUUUUCCGCGCCGUAGCUAACGCAUUAAGUGCCCCGCCUGGGGAGUACGGCCGCAAGGCUAAAACUCAAAGGAAUUGACGGGGGCCCGCACAAGCGGCGGAGCAUGCGGAUUAAUUCGAUGCAACGCGAAGAACCUUACCAAGGCUUGACAUUCACCGGACCGCCCCAGAGAUGGGGUUUCCCUUCGGGGCUGGUGGACAGGUGGUGCAUGGUUGUCGUCAGCUCGUGUCGUGAGAUGUUGGGUUAAGUCCCGCAACGAGCGCAACCCUCGUUCUAUGUUGCCAGCACGUGAUGGUGGGGACUCAUAGGAGACUGCCGGGGUCAACUCGGAGGAAGGUGGGGAUGACGUCAAAUCAUCAUGCCCCUUAUGUCUUGGGCUUCACGCAUGCUACAAUGGCCGGUACAAAGGGUUGCGAUACUGUGAGGUGGAGCUAAUCCCAAAAAGCCGGUCUCAGUUCGGAUUGAGGUCUGCAACUCGACCUCAUGAAGUCGGAGUCGCUAGUAAUCGCAGAUCGGCAACGCUGCGGUGAAUACGUUCCCGGGCCUUGUACACACCGCCCGUCAAGUCACGAAAGUUGGUAACACCCGAAGCCGGUGGCCUAACCCCUUGUGGGAGGGAGCCGUCGAAGGUGGGACUGGCGAUUGGGACUAAGUCGUAACAAGGUAGCC